rnacentral:rRNA from 1 species
GAUGAACGCUGGCGGCGGGCUUAACACAUGCAAGUCGAGCGAAGCCUUCACUUCUAGCGUCGUCCGAGUGAGGAAGGUGUUGGAUCAUCCCCGUCUGUAUGAGUUACCCGCGGGAAACUGGCACUAAUAACGGAUAUGACAUUUAGGGGUAAGAUUUAUCGGAGAAGGAUCGGCCCGCGUUGGAUUAGGUAGUUGGUGGGGUAAUGGCCCACCAGGACGACGAUGCGUAGCUGGUUUGAGAGGAUGAGCAGCCAAACUGGGACUGCGACACGGCCGAGACGCCUACGGGAGGCAGCAGUGGGGAAUCUUAGACAAUGGGGGCAACCAUGAUCGAGCCAGGCCGCGUGAGUGAUGAAGGCCUUAGGGUUGUAAAGCUCUUUCAGCUGGGAAGAUAAUGACGGUACCAGCAGAAGAAGCCCCGGCUAACUCCGUG